rnacentral:rRNA from 1 species
AUUGAACGCUGGCGGCAGGCCUAACACAUGCAAGUCGAACGAGUGGCGGACGGGUGAGUAAUGUCUGGGAAACUGCCUGAUGGAGGGGGAUAACUACUGGAAACGGUAGCUAAUACCGCAUACCAUCAGAUGUGCCCAGAUGGGAUUAGCUAGUAGGUGGGGUAACGGCUCACCAAGUCGACGAUCCCUAGCUGGUCUGAGAGGAUGACCAUGCACACUGGGACUGAGGCACGGUCCAGACGCCUACGAGAGGCAGUAGUGGGGAAUAGUGCACAAUGGGCGAAAGCCUGAGGCAGCCAUGCCGCGUGUAUGAAGAAGGCCUUCGGGUUGUAAAGUACUUUCAGCGGGGAGGCGUUACCCGCAGAAGAAGCACCGGCUAACUCCGUGCCAGCAGCCGCGGUAAUUC